CUUGUGAUCCGCCUGCCUCGGCCUCCCAAAAUGCCGGGAUUACAGUCGUGAGCCACCGCACCCGGCCAAUGAUGAGCUUUUCUGAAGUAGCAUCAGACCAGGCUGCAAAAGAGGGGCACCAGGGAAAGCUUUUCCUGCCAUUCACCCCUGCAGGAUCCUGGCCAGGCGAGUAGCUGUGUGACCCUGGGUUGAGUCAUCCCCAUUUUACAGAGGGAAAACUGAGACUCCGGAGGUUUGCGACAUGGCCUGCUAACAGGCAGAGCCGGGAUUCAAAUCAAGAUCUCACUCCAGUGAGUGAAUGGGAACAGGAUGCAGAUGGUAGACACUGAACACGAAGAAGAAAGCACUGAGGCUGGGAUGAAGAAAGACUUGCUGGCCUUUGGGCAGGAUGGAGUAACCACUGGACUGAAGAAAUGAUCUGUGAGUCCAGACGUGGUGGCUCAUGCCUCUAAUCCCAGCAUUUUAGGAGGCUGAGGUCAGAGAAUUGCUCGAGCCGAGGAGUUCAAGAUCAGCCUGGGCAACAAAGCAUGAUGUUGUCUCCACAAAAAUAAAAUAAUGAAGUAAAAUAUCUGAAACCUGCUGCAGCCUGUUCAUUGGUGUUAAGAUAACUCCCUCUCCCAGAAGCCUUGGCUAAGCACACUGUCGAGGCCAGUGCUUCUCAAUAGGUGGGUGACUUUGUCCUCCUCACCCCCAGGGACACUUGGUAAUAUCUGGAGACAUUUUGGGUUACUGCAAUUGGAUGGUAUGCUACUGGCACCUAUGGGCAGAAGCCAGGGAUGCUGUUUCACACCCUGCAGCAAACAAGACAGCCCUGUCCACCCAACAAAGAAUUGUCUGGCCACAACAUUACUAAAGCUGAGGCUGAGGGAAGUUGGUCUAGGCUACAUGUUUUUCUCUUUACAGAGAAAAUGACCCAUCAUGUCUCCUAAUAGAGAAACGCUGCUUCCGGCCGAAUGACAAGAGCUCACGCCUGUAAUCCCGACACUUUGGGAGGCCAAGGCAGGUGGAUCACUUGAGGUCAGGAGCUCGA
rnacentral:lncRNA from 1 species